UUCAUUUAUCUUUUAUUAUUAUUUAAUAAAUAAAUUAAAAAAAUUAAUCCAUUUAGCAAAUAUUUCAUAAAAUAUUUUAUUUUGUGCAUGACGCAUGUUAUUACCUAGUAUAAAAAUAAUAGCAAACUCAGUUUUGAGUUUGAUGACAUCAAGUCACUAUAUCCUUUUUUUUAGAACUUAUUUGCCCAAUAACCAAAUUCAUAAUAGAAAUUAGGUGGAUGGCAUUGAUGUUGACAUAAUGAAGAAAUUAUCAUUUAUGCUAUAAUUUAUCCGGUUAUACCCUUUUUAAUUACAAGUGACCGGUGAAAAAAAAAGAAAGAAAUAACGUCGACGUUUUAAAGUGUGGACACUUUAAUAGAUAAUUGUUCAGAAUGAGAGAUAUGGAAGACAUCCACGUAACUUAUGUUUAUUACCACGUACAAUUUUAAAUUGGAUUAGCGAUGUGGUUCCAUAAAAUAAAUAAAUGAAUUAAUGGUGUAGAAACUGAAAUGAAUUUAGUGCAUAAUUAAAAAUAAAAGAAUGGUUCCAUUUCACAUGAGAAAUAGUAUAUGACUCUAACCCAACACACAACUCUUAAAUGUUAAACUCAUACCUAAAUAUUGAAUACUAAACCCUAAACUGUUAUCACUAAACCCAAACCUCAAUCCUCACCUUCCAAAUACUAAACCCUAAAUGCUAGUCACUAAACCCUAAAUCAUAAUCGC
rnacentral:lncRNA from 1 species